rnacentral:rRNA from 1 species
GUGGGGAAUUUUGCGCAAUGGGCGAAAGCCUGACGCAGCAACGCCGCGUGACCGAUGAAGCUUCGAGGAGUGUAAAGGUCUGUCCCAGGGGAAGAACAGCAGUGAUGCAAAUAGUUUCACUGUCUGACGGUACCCUGGAAGAAAGCCCCGGCUAACUUCGUGCCAGCAGCCGCGGUAAUACGAGGGGGGCUAGCGUUGUCCGGAAUUAUUGGGUGUAAAGGGCUCGUAGGCGGGCAGGACAGUUGGGAUUUAAAUACCUCGGCUCAACCGAGGAGCUGGUCUCAAUACUUCCUGUCUUGAGUGCGGUAGAGGAGGGUGGAAUUCCUGGUGUAGCGGUGGAAUGCGUAGAUAUCAGGAGGAACACCGAUGGCGAAGGCAGCCCUCUGGGCCGACACUGACGCUGAGGAGCGAAAGCGUGGGGAGCAAACAGG